rnacentral:rRNA from 1 species
UUAAAAUUUACUUAUUAAUUAUUUUCAUUAUUAAAAAUAAUUAUAAAAUUAAAUGUUUAAGUAAUUUAUAAAGAAAAAAUAAAUUAAAUUAUAGUUUAAUAGUAUUGAGAAAGAAUGUUGAAAUAAUUGAAAAAUUAUUAUUUUAAAAGAAAAUUUAAUUUAUUGUACCUUGUGUAUCAGGGUUUAUUUAAUAAAAUUUAUAUAGUAUAAUUUUUUCGAUUUUAAAAGAGUUAAUAUAUUAAAAAAGUUAAUGUAAUAAAAUUAUUUUUAAUAAUAUAUUUGAAAUGAAAUGUUAUUCGUUUUUAAAGGUAUCUAGUUCUUUAAGAAAUAAAUUUAAUUUAAGAAUUUUAUAUUAUUAAUUUAGUUAUAUUAAUAUAAAUAAUUAUUUAAUUCUAAUAUUUUAUGGGAUAAGCUAUAAAAUAAAAUAUUAAAAAUUAAUAAAUAUAUUAAUAAAUAUAAAUUUAGAAAUAGUUAUUAUUAAUAAAAAUGUUAUAAUUUAUACAUAUAAAUUAAAUUAUUUAUUAUAUUUUAAAUUUUUAUUAAAGUAUUUAUUUAAAUUAAUCAAAUGAAUAAAUAAUGAUAAAAUUAGUAUAUAUUAUUGUAAAUGUAAUAUAAAUGAAAAGUUUUUAUAAAGAAUUCGGCAAAUUAAUAUUCGCCUGUUUAACAAAAACAUGUCUUGAUGUUUUUUUUUCAAGUUUAACCUGCCCACUGAAUUUUUGAAUGGCCGCAGUAUAUUAACUGUGCAAAGGUAGCAUAAUCAUUAGUUUUUUAAUUGAAAGCUGGUAUGAAUGGUUGGACGAGAUAUUAACUGUUUCAUAAAAAAUUAAAUUAAAACUUUAUUUUUUAGUUAAAAAGCUAAAAUAAAUUUAAAAGACGAGAAGACCCUAUAAAUCUUUAUAUUAAAUUUAUUAGAAUUUAUAUGUUUUUUUUUAUUAUAAUAAUUUUAUAAUAUUUUAUUGGGGUGAUAUUAAAAUUUAAUAAACUUUUAAUAAUUAAAAUCAUUAAUUUAUGAUUAUUUGAUCCAUUAUUAAUGAUUAAAAAAUUAAGUUACUUUAGGGAUAACAGCGUAAUUUUUUUGGGAAGUUCAUAUUUAUAAAAAAGAUUGCGACCUCGAUGUUGGAUUAAGAAAUAUUUUUAGGUGUAGCAGCUUAAAUGUAAAGUCUGUUCGACUUUUAAAUUCUUACAUGAUCUGAGUUCAAACCGGUGUAAGCCAGGUUGGUUUCUAUCUUUAAAAAUUUAAAAUAUUUUAGUACGAAAGGAUUUAAUAUUAAAUAAAUAAUUAUUUUUUUUAUGAAUAUAAUUAAUUA